UGCGGGGGAAAGGACCGAAAGUACCUAUGUCUUCAAAUACAUCUUUGUGUAGAAAGUCUUAGAAUGUUUACUAUCAUUGAGUCACGACUCUUAGGAGACGUGGGUCUUUGAGAUAAAAGUUUAUUACAACUUUCAGCAAUGGAUCUCUUGGCUCUCGCAUCGAUGAAGAACGCAGCGAAACGCGAUAUGUAAUGUGAAUUGCAGAUCUACAGUGAAUCAUCGAAUCUUUGAACGCACCUUGCGCUCCUUGGUAUUCCGAGGAGCAUGCCUGUUUGAGUGUCAGUAAUUUCUCAACCCCUUUCAAUUAAGUUUGAAUGGGAGCUUGGAUAGUGGGGGUUUGCAGGAAACUUGGAUAUUUUCUUUAACUAGAAAAAGUCUAGGAUUCGAGCUCUCCUGAAAUACAUUGGCUUGCGGGUCUACUUUCGACUUUGUGCGAUAAGGCUUUCGGUGUGAUAAUGAUCACCGUAUGCUGAAGUGCAUAACUGUAAAGUUCCGUGCCUCUAAUAUUGUCGAUCCUAUCCUUAUAGGAUGGAUCUUCCUUAUAUGACAUUUUGACCUCAAAUCAGGUAGGACUACCCUGCUGAACUUAAGCAUAUCAAUAAGCGGAGGAAAAGAAACUAACAAGGAUUCCCCUAGUAACUGCGAGUGAACCGGGAAAAGCUCAAAUUUUGAAUCUGGCAGUCCUUUGAGGUUGUCCGAAUUGUAAUCUAGAGAAGU
rnacentral:rRNA from 1 species